UACAGAGGUCCCAAGCGUUGUUCGGAUUCAUUGGGCGUAAAGGGUGUGUAGGCGGUUGUUUAAGUUUGGUGUGAAAUCUCCCGGCUCAACUGGGAGGGUGCGCCGAAUACUGAGCGACUAGAGUGCGGGAGAGGAAAGUGGAAUUCCUGGUGUAGCGGUGAAAUGCGUAGAUAUCAGGAGGAACACCGGUGGUGUAGACGGCUUUCUGGACCGUAACUGACGCUGAGACACGAAAGCGUGGGUAGCAAACAGG
rnacentral:rRNA from 1 species